CUGAGAGCUUGAACUCCGAAGUGACUUCCAGCGCGCGGUCCUGGCGCGCUUCGAAGCUUUCGGGCUGACGG
rnacentral:sRNA from 1 species